UACGUAGGGUGCGAGCGUUGUCCGGAAUUAUUGGGCGUAAAGAGCUCGUAGGCGGCUUGUCGCGUCGGAUGUGAAAGCCCGGGGCUUAACUCCGGGUCUGCAUUCGAUACGGGCAGGCUAGAGUUCGGUAGGGGAGAUCGGAAUUCCUGGUGUAGCGGUGAAAUGCGCAGAUAUCAGGAGGAACACCGGUGGCGAAGGCGGAUCUCUGGGCCGAUACUGACGCUGAGGAGCGAAAGCGUGGGGAGCGAACAGGA
rnacentral:rRNA from 1 species